rnacentral:tRNA from 1 species
AGUGGAGUGGCUGAGAUAAAUAAGUAGGCGAUAGGCUGUAAAUCUAUUUAGGGGUAUUUACGUUACUUUUCCACUA